GCAUAGGAAUCUACCUAGUAGUAUGGGAUAGCCACUAGAAAUGGUGGGUAAUACUGUAUAAUCCCUGCGGGGGAAAGAUUUAUCGCUAUUAGAUGAGCCUAUGUUAGAUUAGCUAGUUGGUAGGGUAAAGGCCUACCAAGGCGAUGAUCUAUAGCUGGUCUGAGAGGAUGAUCAGCCACACUGGAACUGAGAUACGGUCCAGACUCCUACGGGAGGCAGCAGUGGGGAAUAUUGGACAAUGGGCGCAAGCCUGAUCCAGCUAUGCCGCGUGAGUGAGGAAGGCCUUAGGGUUGUAAAACUCUUUCAGUAGGGAAGAUAAUGA
rnacentral:rRNA from 1 species